GCACCCGUAGCUCAGGGGAUAGAGCGAUUGCCUCCGGAGCAAUAGGCCGUAGGUUCGAAUCCUAUCGGGUGUACCA
rnacentral:tRNA from 1 species